UGUAGCGAGGGGUGACAGGGCGAAUGCAGAAAAAGUAUAGCCAAACAGGUACAAAAAGUUAAGGCUGGGGUACUCCUGUGAGAUUCCUGCAGGGACAGCGCGCCGCACCGUCUUGAAAGCGAUCUUCUCUCCUUGGCUUCCCUCUUCUCCAGAUACACUCCCCCUCUAUUUCCUCUUCAGAUAUGAGCAGGCCUCAAAGAGACAACAGCCAGACAGGACAAAACAUGAUACAGGAAAAUAAGGUGAGGCUGGACAAGGCAACACAACAAAAGGAAAAGAGUCCCAGGAGCUCCUCUCCCAAAGAUCAUUCCAAAUCCUGCCAUGCUGAUAAUCAAGAUCUACCAUCGAAGCCUCCCAUUUGAUUGAAUCAGUUGUAUCUCCAGAUGUGCAGCUUGCUUUUUCAGGAAGUAAUUUUUUAAAAAGUUUAAUGUGGACUGUUUGUUGGGAGUCUCAAGUACAUAACAAGGGCCACUUUAUUUCUGUAUCCCCUCAUUCUCCCCCACGCUGCACAUUCAUAA